UGGGGAAUAUUGCACAAUGGGCGAAAGCCUGAUGCAGCAACGCCGCGUGAGUGAUGAAGGUCUUCGGAUUGUAAAGCUCUGUCUUUUGGGACGAUAAUGACGGUACCAAAGGAGGAAGCCACGGCUAACUACGUGCCAGCAGCCGCGGUAAUACNUAGGUGGCGAGCGUUGUCCGGAUUUACUGGGCGUAAAGGGUGCGUAGGCGGAUGUUUAAGUGAGAUGUGAAAUACCCGGGCUUAACUUGGGUGCUGCAUUUCAAACUGGAUAUCUAGAGUGCAGGAGAGGAGAAUGGAAUUCCUAGUGUAGCGGUGAAAUGCGUAGAGAUUAGGAAGAACACCAGUGGCGAAGGCGAUUCUCUGGACUGUAACUGACGCUGAGGCACGAAAGCGUGGGUAGCAAACAGGAUUAGAUACCCUGGUAGUCCACGCCGUAAACGAUGAGUACUAGGUGUAGGAGGUAUCGACCCCUUCUGUGCCGCAGUAAAACACAUUAAGUACUCCGCCUGGGAAGUA
rnacentral:rRNA from 1 species